GUGCAGACGUCUAGUUUAUUAGACUAACAAUGCCAUUUACAUCAUUGAGAUGUUGAAUCAUCCACAGUAUUUUUUGCUCUGACAAACAGAAAAAUAACAUCUCCCAAUGCCCACUAAUCCAUAUGCCAAGAUAUGAAUUUUUUACAAAAUAUAUUUUUUUAUUAUAUGAAAAUUAUUGCCAAAAAAUAUACAUACAAAGAUAUCAGCAGUGCAAAUGUAGAACAAAUUACCACUACAAGUAAUUUAGAUUAAAUAGCUGUGCAAAUUUUCAUGUAAACUAUAACAGCAGGAGUUAAUAUUUUACAUCCGAAUAUAUAAUUCAGUAAGGUGAAAAAUUAAAUUAGGAACAGACUUGGAGGUAGAUAAAUACACACAAUCUAUAAAAGUAUGCAUAGGUUACAGUUCAAUUAUUGCCUUGCUUUUUUGUAUUCUACGCUAGGAGGUUAAUGCUUCUAUGGACCUUUGAAGUUCUGGAAAACAUCUGCCCCUUCUAACCAUGAUGACAAACAAGCAAUCCCCCUCUCUUUUAUCUGUUUCCUUCCUUUGUCGGUAAUCACUUCUCCAUUUGGUUUCACAAUCACCAGUUUUGGUAAAGCUGUUAUCUUGUACUGGUUCUUCAAUUCACUGGAAAAGAAAGAGAAAAUGAUUCCAACUCAAAGUCAUGAAUU